rnacentral:rRNA from 1 species
UUUGCCUUAUAAUUGAAGGCUGGUAUGAAUGNGCNUNUGACGAGAAUAUAACUGUCUCUUUACAAUUUGAUAGAAUUUUAUAUUUAGGUGAAAAAGCCUUAAUUUAAUUAAAAGACAAGAAGACCCUAUCGAGCUUAAGAGAAAUUAGCAGAUGUAUAGAUUUUUGGUUAAAAAAUAUAACUGUUAAACAUUUUUGGUUGGGGCGACUGAGGAACAUGAGAAGCUUCCUUUUAUAAUCUUUUAUAUACGAAUUAUUGAUCCACAGUUAGUGAUUAAAGGAAUUAGUUACCGUAGGGAUAACAGCAUAAUCUUUUUUGAGAGUUCUUAUCGAAAAAAGGGUUUGUGACCUCGAUGUUGGACCAGAAUAUCCUAAAGAUGUAGAAGUCUUUAAGGGUUGGUCUGUUCGACCAUUAAAAUUCUA